UACGAAGGGGGCUAGCGUUGCUCGGAAUCACUGGGCGUAAAGAGCUCGUAGGCGGUUCGUCGCGUCGGCUGUGAAAUCCCGAGGCUCAACCUCGGGUCUGCAGUCGAUACGGGCGGACUGGAGUACUGCAGGGGAGACUGGAAUUCCUGGUGUAGCGGUGAAAUGCGCAGAUAUCAGGAGGAACACCGGUGGCGAAGGCGGGUCUCUGGGCAGUUACUGACGCUGAGGAGCGAAAGCGUGGGGAGCGAACAGG
rnacentral:rRNA from 1 species